UCUGGCAGGCGUCCGAUGAAAUUACUUGUCUUAACAAAAAGCCACUCACUUAUUUUGUAUGUAAAACCUACUCUCCUCUAAUAAGCUGCUGGAGCAAAACAACAAUGUAUUGCACCAGGGUGACCAUGACAACACCUAUGCAGCGUCAGAAGCCCAACAGCCAGAUAGAGCCCAUCCCUCCCCCUGUGUCAUCGAUGGUCAGCCAGCGUACAUGAUGAGACGCCUUCUGAGGGUUCGACCACGAGGCAGGGGUUUCCGGUACCUGGUUGAUGGUCCGGAGGAGAAGUGCUUGGUUCCCGCUAAAGACAUCUUGGACCCAGCCCUCAUCGCUGACUUUCACCGCCGGCACCCCAGUCAACCAGGUACCCGCCCAGGUGGAAUGCCAGGUGGCGUCACUAGAGGGGAAGGGGGGAGGGGUAUGUGUCACGCCCUGAUCUGUUUCACCUGUCCUUCUGCUUGUCUCCACCCCCCCAGGUGUCGCCCAUCUUCCCUAAUUAUCCUCUGGGUAUUUAUACCUGUGUUGGCUGUCUGGGACAGUUUUUCUUGUUUGUCAAGCUGACAAGCAUUUGUCCUGUCAGGUCCUGUCUUUUCCCAGCCUAUCUUUUUCUCAUCCACCUGGUUUUUGACCCUUGCCUGUCCUGACCCUGUACCCGCC